AGUCAUACCAUACCAAAUAUGAACCGCUAUAUUCAGUUGUUAACCGAGGAGAAACAUUUGGUCCCUGGACUUAUUUCUCUGAUAGAACAGGGAUCUGACAUUCUGCAUGGAAAAACUCUUCUAUUUGUUGCUCUUCUUUGCAAGAACAGUCGAAGGUGGCUUCCACAAUUCUUUUGCAAUGCAAAGCUGCUAUCGGCAGUCGAUAGAUUGGGAAAGGAGAAGGAUGGUUUGAUUCAUCAAUGUACCGAAGCAUUUGUUCAGUUAGUUGCUUUGUUGGUCCCAGGCAUUCUUGACACUGUAUCUAGUGAUAUACAGCAGGUCAUGGGUGGCAAAUGUCAUGGACCUAUUACUGCUUUAACGGGACGUGCUCAUCCAAAGAGCACAAUUCAUUUGUUCCCUGUUGUCCUUCAUCUUCUUGGGAGUGUAUCCUUCAAUCACAGAGUUGUGACAAGUCAAGUAUUGCUCCAGUUGGCUAAUCUUAUGAAGAUAUUGGAGACACCAUUUCAGGUAUGGCCUAUAACUAUCUGGACCCAACCUUCUUAG
rnacentral:rRNA from 1 species